CCUACGGGUGGCAGCAGUGAGGAAUAUUGGUCAAUGGGCGCGAGCCUGAACCAGCCAAGUCGCGUGAGGGAUGACUGCCCUACGGGUUGUAAACCUCUUUUAUAAAGGAAGAAAGUGAGGGACGUGUGCCUUGAUGAAUGUACCUUAUGAAUAAGCAUCGGCUAACUCCGUGCCAGCAGCCGCGGUAAUACGGAGGAUUCGAGCGUUAUCCGGAUUUAUUGGGUUUAAAGGGAGCGUAGACGGGUUGUUAAGUCAGUGGUUAAAGUUUGGGGCUUAACCCCCAGAUUGCCAUUGAUACUGGCAGCCUUGAGUACAGUUGAGGUAGGCGGAAUUCGUGGUGUAGCGGUGAAAUGCUUAGAUAUCGCGAAGAACUCCGAUUGCGAAGGCAGCUUACCAGACUGACACUGACGCUGAUGCACGAAAGUGUGGGUAUCGAACAGGAUUAGAUACCCUUGUAGUC
rnacentral:rRNA from 1 species